UUAAGUUAUUAAGGGCGCACGGUGGAUGCCUUGGCACUAGAAGCCGAUGAAGGACGUUACUAACGACGAUAUGCUUUGGGGAGCUGUAAGUAAGCUUUGAUCCAGAGAUUUCCGAAUGGGGAAACCCAGCAUGAGUUAUGUCAUGUUAUCGAUAUGUGAAUACAUAGCAUAUCAGAAGGCACACCCGGAGAACUGAAACAUCUUAGUACCCGGAGGAAGAGAAAGAAAAUUCGAUUCCCUUAGUAGCGGCGAGCGAAACGGGAAGAGCCCAAACCAACAAGCUUGCUUGUUGGGGUUGUAGGACACUCUAUACGGAGUUACAAAGGACGACAUUAGACGAAUCAUCUGGAAAGAUGAAUCAAAGAAGGUAAUAAUCCUGUAGUCGAAAAUGUUGUCUCUCUUGAGUGGAUCCUGAGUACGACGGAGCACGUGAAAUUCCGUCGGAAUCUGGGAGGACCAUCUCCUAAGGCUAAAUACUCUCUAGUGACCGAUAGUGAACCAGUACCGUGAGGGAAAGGUGAAAAGCACCCCGGAAGGGGAGUGAAAUAGAACCUGAAACCGUGUGCUUACAAGUAGUCAGAGCCCGUUAAUGGGUGAUGGCGUGCCUUUUGUAGAAUGAACCGGCGAGUUACGAUUUGAUGCAAGGUUAAGCAGUAAAUGUGGAGCCGUAGCGAAAGCGAGUCUGAAUAGGGCGUUUAGUAUUUGGUCGUAGACCCGAAACCAGGUGAUCUACCCUUGGUCAGGUUGAAGUUCAGGUAACACUGAAUGGAGGACCGAACCGACUUACGUUGAAAAGUGAGCGGAUGAACUGAGGGUAGCGGAGAAAUUCCAAUCGAACCUGGAGAUAGCUGGUUCUCUCCGAAAUAGCUUUAGGGCUAGCCUCAAGUGAUGAUUAUUGGAGGUAGAGCACUGUUUGGACGAGGGGCCCCUCUCGGGUUACCGAAUUCAGACAAACUCCGAAUGCCAAUUAAUUUAACUUGGGAGUCAGAACAUGGGUGAUAAGGUCCGUGUUCGAAAGGGAAACAGCCCAGACCACCAGCUAAGGUCCCAAAAUAUAUGUUAAGUGGAAAAGGAUGUGGCGUUGCCCAGACAACUAGGAUGUUGGCUUAGAAGCAGCCAUCAUUUAAAGAGUGCGUAAUAGCUCACUAGUCGAGUGACACUGCGCCGAAAAUGUACCGGGGCUAAACAUAUUACCGAAGCUGUGGAUUGUCCUUUGGACAAUGGUAGGAGAGCGUUCUAAGGGCGUUGAAGCAUGAUCGUAAGGACAUGUGGAGCGCUUAGAAGUGAGAAUGCCGGUGUGAGUAGCGAAAGACGGGUGAGAAUCCCGUCCACCGAUUGACUAAGGUUUCCAGAGGAAGGCUCGUCCGCUCUGGGUUAGUCGGGUCCUAAGCUGAGGCCGACAGGCGUAGGCGAUGGAUAACAGGUUGAUAUUCCUGUACCACCUAUAAUCGUUUUAAUCGAUGGGGGGGACGCAGUAGGAUAGGCGAAGCGUGCGAUUGGAUUGCACGUCUAAGCAGUAAGGCUGAGUAUUAGGCAAAUCCGGUACUCGUUAAGGCUGAGCUGUGAUGGGGAGAAGACAUUGUGUCUUCGAGUCGUUGAUUUCACACUGCCGAGAAAAGCCUCUAGAUAGAAAAUAGGUGCCCGUACCGCAAACCGACACAGGUAGUCAAGAUGAGAAUUCUAAGGUGAGCGAGCGAACUCUCGUUAAGGAACUCGGCAAAAUGACCCCGUAACUUCGGGAGAAGGGGUGCUCUUUAGGGUUAACGCCCAGAAGAGCCGCAGUGAAUAGGCCCAAGCGACUGUUUAUCAAAAACACAGGUCUCUGCUAAACCGUAAGGUGAUGUAUAGGGGCUGACGCCUGCCCGGUGCUGGAAGGUUAAGAGGAGUGGUUAGCUUCUGCGAAGCUACGAAUCGAAGCCCCAGUAAACGGCGGCCGUAACUAUAACGGUCCUAAGGUAGCGAAAUUCCUUGUCGGGUAAGUUCCGACCCGCACGAAAGGCGUAACGAUUUGGGCACUGUCUCAACGAGAGACUCGGUGAAAUCAUAGUACCUGUGAAGAUGCAGGUUACCCGCGACAGGACGGAAAGACCCCGUGGAGCUUUACUGUAGCCUGAUAUUGAAAUUCGGCACAGCUUGUACAGGAUAGGUAGGAGCCUUUGAAACGUGAGCGCUAGCUUACGUGGAGGCGCUGGUGGGAUACUACCCUAGCUGUGUUGGCUUUCUAACCCGCACCACUUAUCGUGGUGGGAGACAGUGUCAGGCGGGCAGUUUGACUGGGGCGGUCGCCUCCUAAAAGGUAACGGAGGCGCUCAAAGGUUCCCUCAGAAUGGUUGGAAAUCAUUCAUAGAGUGUAAAGGCAUAAGGGAGCUUGACUGCGAGACCUACAAGUCGAGCAGGGUCGAAAGACGGACUUAGUGAUCCGGUGGUUCCGCAUGGAAGGGCCAUCGCUCAACGGAUAAAAGCUACCCCGGGGAUAACAGGCUUAUCUCCCCCAAGAGUUCACAUCGACGGGGAGGUUUGGCACCUCGAUGUCGGCUCAUCGCAUCCUGGGGCUGUAGUCGGUCCCAAGGGUUGGGCUGUUCGCCCAUUAAAGCGGUACGCGAGCUGGGUUCAGAACGUCGUGAGACAGUUCGGUCCCUAUCCGUCGUGGGCGUAGGAAAUUUGAGAUGAGCUGUCCUUAGUACGAGAGGACCGGGAUGGACAUACCUCUGGUGUACCAGUUGUCGUGCCAACGGCAUAGCUGGGUAGCUAUGUGUGGACGGGAUAAGUGCUGAAAGCAUCUAAGCAUGAAGCCCCCCUCAAGAUGAGAUUUCCCAACUUCGGUUAUAAGAUCCCUCAAAGAUGAUGAGGUUAAUAGGUUCGAGGUGGAAGCAUGGUGACAUGUGGAGCUGACGAAUACUAAUCGAUCGAAGACUUAAUCAA
rnacentral:rRNA from 1 species